GUGGGGAAUAUUCCGCAAUGGACGAAAGUCUGACGGAGCAACGCCGCGUGAGUGAUGAAGGUUUUCGGACUGUAAAGCUCUGUUGUUCAGGACGAAAGUGCCUGUUGCGAACAGUUACAGGUAUUGACGGUACUGAACGAGGAAGCCACGGCUAACUACGUGCCAGCAGCCGCGGUAAUACGUAGGUGGCAAGCGUUGUCCGGAAUUAUUGGGCGUAAAGAGCAUGUAGGCGGGAAUCUAAGUCUGUUGUGAAAAUGCGGGGCUCAACCCCGUAUGGCGAUGGAAACUGGAUUUCUUGAGUGCAGGAGAGGAAAGGGGAAUUCCCAGUGUAGCGGUGAAAUGCGUAGAUAUUGGGAGGAACACCAGUGGCGAAGGCGCCUUUCUGGACUGUGUCUGACGCUGAGAUGCGAAAGCCAGGGUAGCGAACGGGAUUAGAUACCCGUGUAGUCC
rnacentral:rRNA from 1 species